CCUACGGGGAGCUGCAGUGAGGAAUAUUGGUCAAUGGGCGUAAGCCUGAACCAGCCCAGUCGCGUGAGGGAUGAAGGUUCUAUGGAUCUUAAACCUCUUUUAUACGGGACUAAAGUGCGGGACGUGUCCCGUCUUGUCUGUACCUUAUGAAUAAGGAUCGGCUAACUCCGUGCCAGCAGCCGCGGUAAUACGGAGGAUCCGAGCGUUAUCCGGAUUUAUUGGGUUUAAAGGGUGCGUAGGCGGCGUUUUAAGUCAGCGGUGAAAGUCUGUGGCUAAACCAUAGAAUUGCCGUUGAAACUGGGAGGCUUGAGUAUGUUUGAGGCAGGCGGAAUGCGUGGUGUAGCGGUGAAAUGCUUAGAUAUCACGCAGAACCCCGAUUGCGAAGGCAGACUGCCAAGCCAUGACUGACGCUGAUGCACGAAAGCGUGGGGAUCAAACAGGAUUAGAUACCCUAGUAGUC
rnacentral:rRNA from 1 species